rnacentral:misc_RNA from 1 species
CAUCAUGGUUGCCAUUUCACUCAGAAAAUUACCCAUCCCCAUCCCAUUUUCUUCAUCAUCAUUGUCAUAUGCACCUACAUCGUACAGAACCUCUGGCUGGUGUCAGAGAGAACAGAGUAGGCUUCUUGUAUUGCCUGAAAAUUCCGUUUCGCUUCUUCAACGAACUUUGCAUUCCCCGAAGCUGAACAGCGAUCUGGGUGCCAUCU